UACGAAGGGUGCAAGCGUUACUCGGAAUUACUGGGCGUAAAGCGUGCGUAGGUGGUUUGUUAAGUCUGAUGUGAAAGCCCUGGGCUCAACCUGGGAACUGCAUUGGAAACUGGCUGACUAGAGUGCGGUAGAGGGGUGUGGAAUUCCCGGUGUAGCAGUGAAAUGCAUAGAUAUCGGGAGGAACAUCUGUGGCGAAGGCGACACCCUGGACCAGCACUGACACUGAGGCACGAAAGCGUGGGGAGCAAACAGG
rnacentral:rRNA from 1 species